CGUUCCCGGGUCUUGUACACACCGCCCGUCACACCACGAGAGUUUACAACACCCGAAGUCGGUGAGGUAACCGCAAGGAGCCAGCCGCCGAAGGUGGGGUAGAUGGUUGGGGUG
rnacentral:rRNA from 1 species